rnacentral:rRNA from 1 species
GCUUGCUUUUCUGAUGACGACCGGCGCACGGGUGAGUAACGCGUAUACAACCUACCUUUUAGCGGGGAAUAGCCCAGGGAAACUUGGAUUAAUGUCCCAUAGUAUGGAGGUCUCUCCUGAGAUCAUCAUUAAACAUUUAUGGCUAUUAGAUGGGUAUGCGUCCUAUUAGUUAGUUGGUAAGGUAACGGCUUACCAAGGCAGCGAUAGGUAGGGGUCCUGAGAGGGAGAUCCCCCACACUGGUACUGAGACACGGACCAGACUCCUACGGGAGGCAGCAGUGAGGAAUAUUGGACAAUGGGCGAGAGCCUGAUCCAGCCAUGCCGCGUGCAGGAAGACUGCCCUAUGGGUUGUAAACUGCUUUUACAGAGGAAGAACCACUCCCACGUGUGGGAGUUUGACGGUACUCUGCGAAUAAGGAUCGGCUAACUCCGUGCCAGCAGCCGCGGUAAUACGGAGGAUCCGAGCGUUAUCCGGAAUCAUUGGGUUUAAAGGGU